rnacentral:tRNA from 1 species
GCCGAGGUAGCUCAGGUGGUAGAGCAGAGGACUGAAAAUCCUCGUGUCGGCGGUUCGAGUCCGCCCCUCGGCACCA